GUUCCCGGGUCCAGGCAGCGCUGACUCAGCAGCCGUCCUCAGUGUCGGUGAAACCAGGAGAAACUGUCAAGAUCACCUGCUCUGGGAUUGGCAGCAGCAGCUAUAGUGCUGGCUGGUUCCAGCAGAAGACACCUGGCAGUGCCCCUGUCACUCUGAUCUACAACGGCAACAGCAGACCCUCGGACAUCCCCUCGCGAUUCUCUGGAUCCACGUCCGGCUCCACAGCCACGUUAACCAUCAGUGGGGUCCAAGCCGAGGACGAGGCUGUCUAUUACUGUGGUGGCUACGACAGCAGCAGUGCUG